rnacentral:lncRNA from 1 species
CAAAGAUGGUCACCCAAGAGGGGGGUGAAUUGGGUGUUUUAAAAACUUUUUGCCUAAUUAAAAAUAAAACACACAAAUAUAUGAACUAAAAUAAUGAUAAAGAGAUAAGAAGAGACAACCACAAACACACGGUUUUAUAGUGGUUCGGAGCCUUCACCGCUCCUACAUCCACUCCCCAAAGCGCCUUUGGGAAUUUCCACUAUAAUCCAAGAUUACAGUACAGUAGUUUUGCGAGUUCACUACCCAACUCGUUGUU